rnacentral:rRNA from 1 species
UACGAAGGGGGCUAGCGUUGUUCGGAAUCACUGGGCGUAAAGCGCUCGUAGGCGGCUUUCUAAGUCAGGGGUGAAAUCCUGGAGCUCAACUCCAGAACUGCCUUUGAUACUGGAGAGCUUGAGUCCGGAAGAGGUGAGUGGAACUCCGAGUGUAGAGGUGAAAUUCGUAGAUAUUCGGAAGAACACCAGUGGCGAAGGCGGCUCACUGGUCCGGUACUGACGCUGAGGUGCGAAAGCGUGGGGAGCAAACAGG